CACGUAGGGGGCGAGCGUUGUCCGGAUUCAUUGGGCGUAAAGCGCGCGCAGGCGGCUCGGAAAGUCCGCUGUGAAAGUCGGGGGCUCAACCCUCGAAUGCCGGUGGAUACUGUCGGGCUAGAGUGCGGAAGAGGCGAGUGGAAUUCCUGGUGUAGCGGUGAAAUGCGCAGAUAUCAGGAGGAACACCUAUUGCGAAGGCAGCUCGCUGGGACGUAACUGACGCUGAGACGCGAAAGCGUGGGGAGCAAACAGG
rnacentral:rRNA from 1 species